CCGCGGAAGGAAAACAAAAACCACCGUGAGUCGUGAGAGAAAAAAAAAGGACCAACGGUUCGUACAUCGCCUCCUCCCCUUCCCCGCCGUUACCUCGCACGCAUCCCCGACCCCCUGCCGGCGGCCGGAUCCGGUCACUAUCUCCCCUCCAGACCGCCGCCGCCACCAUGCGGGUCAGCCACCAGGAUCUUCGUCUGCCCGAGCCCUAGGCAAAUCCGCCGCCGCUGCGCACCUCCUUGGGAUCCGCGGCCGCAAGCCUCCUCGGUCCACCGCCGCGCGCCUCCCUUCCCUCCCUCUCCCCCUUCAGCCUCCCUUUUCCCCAUAGUGUCCAUCGUACUGCCCCUGGCUAGGGCAUGGAGGAUACCACCGGUCCAUCAGUGUUGCCGGCGACGGCACCGGUGGCCCUCCCUCCCCGCGAACGACGCCGCCGUCGAUCUCCACCGCAGAUCCGGAUAGACUGAUAGCGGUCUCAACCUGCUCCCCGAGAGGGUCUAGCCCCAGACCUCUUGAUCUCGAGCAAUCAAGAACUGCCUAGAGGUAUAAUCCUUAUUGUGAGAUGAUGGUGGGCAUUCUUAUACAAAGGUAAUUAGCAAUUAUGAAGUAGCGUAAAGUUCAGGGAAUUGAGUAUUAUGAGGUUUCAUGGAGAAACAUGUCUGAGCUCCAACCUUCAGCUUUCCAGGGAAUAUCAUUAGAAGGUGGAUAUGAUAUGCAUGUCUAGGUUCUUAUGAUUUGGCUGCUCUCAAGUACUGGGGCCCGAUCACGAUGACAAAUUUUCCAGUAGAUAACUCUGAGAAGGAGCUGGAGGAGAUGAAGCAUAUAAGGCUGGAGUUUGUGGCAUCCCUCAGAAGUGGAGUGCUUGGCAUACUGUUGUUUGUUCUGGAAAAUCGAAGGUUUCUUUGGCUGGCCGUUCUUUUGUAGGAUAUGGACAAUUAUGUUUUGUUUUAGGCCAUGAUGGAGGUAUGUCAAUAUCAUGAGCUUCUCCUGAAGAAGUACCAUUAUUGAUAGCUUCCUUUUCCAACAGCAAUUUCCUAAUUAGUUAGAUAUAUGGACAUAUAUUGACAAUAUACUAGCUUUACAUUCUUGGAGAACAGUUUGUUUGGAGUGCAUGGAACUAUCACAGUUACUAUAGAAUUAGUGUCACUCAAUCAAUCAUCUUUUAUUUUUUUUGUAAAUAUCUUGAUAUUUUAUUAUAAGAAUCAUGCCCCUGCUUUUAUGAUGCUUACACUCUGUUUCAUAUAGAAUUUCACCGAAAAGGUGAAAUUUUACAGUUAAGUACAAUUCUGAAAUAGUUCUCCAAGCAUCAAAAGUGCAGAUUGCUGUCAACUUCAGUAUAUAGCAUUGGCAGCUUUGCUAUCAUUGGUUCUUACAACCUUUCGCCUACAUUAAGAGUGUCCUUAACAAACCAAGGUUCAGUUAGAACAAUGUCAAGCAUGAUACCCACCAUCACUGAACAAUUAGGACAGGCUAUAUGGAGAUGGUAGGCUGCAAGCAAGAAGCUAUGACAUGAGCGAAUGAGUGGUUGAUAAUGGAGUACCAAUAGAAGCUCGGAAUAAUCUGCUGUUAGUGGCAUGGUAAAAGCAUCUGAAUACUUAUAUUCAUAGUUACUAUGAUUGAUUGUUCCCAACAAAUAAAGUUGCAUCAUUUUCUUUUCGGUGUAGCUUACUUCUGCUCUGAUAUGCCAUCUCAUUUCGUUACAGAGCUCUCCUCUAUCAUAUUAAUGGUUUAUUAUUUUCAUUAUUUAAAUUAUUUGACAUCUGAUUUCUCGUCAAUAUUGACACUAUGUUUAGGUAGAUUAUGUACUAGAUGCCGUCUUCCCAUGGGAUAUUGAUAUGAAAGAUUCCUUCCUAUGAACAAUGAUGUCAUUACACCGUUCAUUUUCGGCAUUGAUCGGUGUCCUUGCUACGUCGGCGGGUGGAGGGCUGUCGCCGACGCACGAGGACGAUGAGGCUCCAUUGCGUCGAUGAGCGAGUGACGUAUCGUUUUGCAUCCCAAUCCUUAAGUGAAGGGGAGUAAAAGGCAAGGGUUUUUCUGUUAAACGUGUUUAAGUGGCUUGUGAGAAUCUUAUUUGACCUGAGCCAAAUGUUUUGAUCCAACUGCUCACGCGGCGGAAGUUUGCAGGUUUUCAUUGGAUGGGCGUUUUAAUUGUAUACGAUCGCCGCCUUGUUAACUGAUAUUUCUUUCGUCUUUGCCCUUCUUUUCAUUUAACAUAUAUUUAUUCUCCGUUGCAACGCACGGGCACUUGGCUAGUGAGAUGUAACAAGUGUCAUGUAUGUGCAUGCUAGCCAGUAUGUGUAUGGCACGGGAGCGUCUGCAGAAGCGGCCGACACUGCGGGAUCGACACCAAGGAUGACGAGGGAGGCUGGGGCAGCGCCGGCAAGCACCAUGGCAGCGGCUGUGCCGGAAUCGAGGAGGUCGAGCUGGCGGCUGAAAUUUCAUGACAUUGGCGGUUGGGCUGCGCGUGCUGGAUAUGGGUUGGAUGGGUAUCUUGGGAUAGAAUACCCAUAUUUGGGUAUUGGGUGGCAAAAUAUGGGUAGUUAUUUUUUUUUGGUAUCCAACAAAUAUGAGUAUGAUGUUGGAGUCGUUUUUUUUGUCAAAAUAUUCAUAUUGACGGUUUUUGGGUAUUCUUUCUAAAAAUGGGUAUGCUGUUGGAGAUGCUCUGAGGGAAUCCAUUCUAAGGGAAUCCAUUGUUUCCUCUCGUGUAUGUGCAUGUAAGCAAAAAAGCACUGUAUGAAAAGAAGCAAUAAAUAUGUCCGCCCAAGCCAAUGUCUUUUGCUUAA